UACGAAGGGGGCUAGCGUUGCUCGGAAUCACUGGGCGUAAAGGGUGCGUAGGCGGGUCUUUAAGUCGGAGGUGAAAUCCUGGAGCUCAACUCCAGAACUGCCUUCGAUACUGAAGAGCUCGAGUCCGGGAGAGGUGAGUGGAACUGCGAGUGUAGAGGUGAAAUUCGUAGAUAUUCGCAAGAACUCCAGUGGCGAAGGCGGCUCACUGGCCCGGUACUGACGCUGAGGUGCGAAAGCGUGGGGAGCAAACAGG
rnacentral:rRNA from 1 species